UAAUACAGAGGGUGCGAGCGUUGAUCGGAUUUACUGGGCGUAAAGGGCGCGUAGGCGGUCAGAUGAGUGUGAUGUGAAAGCCCCGGGCUUAACCCGGGAAGUGCAUUGCAAACGAUCUGACUAGAGUACAAGAGAGGGUGGUGGAAUUUCCGGUGUAGCGGUGAAAUGCGUAGAUAUCGGAAAGAACGUCAAUGGCGAAGGCAGCCACCUGGCUUGAUACUGACGCUGAGGCGCGAAAGCGUGGGUAGCGAACAGGAUUAGAUACCCUGGUAGUCCACGCUGUAAACGAUGAGAACUAGAUGUCGGUAGGGCGACCUAUCGGUAUCGAAGCUAACGCGAUAAGUUCUCCGCCUGGGGAGUACGGCCGCAAGGUUG
rnacentral:rRNA from 1 species